rnacentral:rRNA from 1 species
UUUUAUGGAGAGUUUGAUCCUGGCUCAGGAUGAACGCUGGCGGCGUGCCUAAUACAUGCAAGUCGAGCGAACGGACGAGAAGCUUGCUUCUCUGAUGUUAGCGGCGGACGGGUGAGUAACACGUGGAUAACCUACCUAUAAGACUGGGAUAACUUCGGGAAACCGGAGCUAAUACCGGAUGAUAUUUUGAACCGCAUGGUUCAAAAGUGAAAGACGGUCUUGCUGUCACUUAUAGAUGGAUCCGCGCUGCAUUAGCUAGUUGGUAAGGUAACGGC